CUACGGGAGGCACCAGUCGAGAAUCUUUCCCAAUGGGCGAAAGCCUGAGGAUGCGACGCCGCGUGAGGGAUGAAGGUCUUCGGAUUGUAAACCUCUUUUAUUGAGGAGGAAAAGCAAAAAGUAAAUAAUUUUUUGCCUUGACUGUACUCAAGGAAUAAGCCACGGCUAACUCCGUGCCAGCAGCCGCGGUAAUACGGAGGUGGCAAGCGUUACUCGGUUUGACUGGGUGUGAAGGGUCCGCAGGCGGUCUUGCAAGUGAAAGGUGAAAUCUCUUGGCUUAACCAAGAAACGGCCUUUCAAACUGUUAGACUUGAGGAUGCGAGAGGAGAGCGGAACUGUCGGUGUAAAGGUGAAAUUUGUGGAUAUCGACAGGAACGCCUGUGGGGAAGUCGGCUCUCUGGACCAUAUCUGACGCUCAUGGACGAAAGCUAGGGGAGCAAACAGGAUUAGAUACCCGCGUAGUC
rnacentral:rRNA from 1 species